rnacentral:rRNA from 1 species
UCACUUGUGACCUUGCGCUAAUAGAUGAGCCUAAGUCGUAUUAGCUAGUUGGUGGGGUAAAGGCCUACCAAGGCGACGAUCUGUAGCGGGUCUGAGAGGAUGAUCCGCCACACUGGGACUGAGACACGGCCCAGACUCCUACGGGAGGCAGCAGUGGGGAAUAUUGGACAAUGGGGGGAACCCUGAUCCAGCCAUGCCGCGUGUGUGAAGAAGGCCUUAUGGUUGUAAAGCACUUUAAGCGAGGAGGAGGCUCUUUUGGUUAAUACCCAAGAUGAGUGGACGUUACUCGCAGAAUAAGCACCGGCUAACUCUGUGCCAGCAGCCGCGGUAAUACAGAGGGUGCAAGCGUUAAUCGGAUUUACUGGGCGUAAAGCGCGCGUAGGCGGCCAAUUAAGUCAAAUGUGAAAUCCCCGAGCUUAACUUGGGAAUUGCAUUCGAUACUGGUUGGCUAGAGUGUGGGAGAGGAUGGUAGAAUUCCAGGUGUAGCGGUGAAAUGCGUAGAGAUCUGGAGGAAUACCGAUGGCGAAGGCAGCCAUCUGGCCUAACACUGA